CCCAGUGAUGCUUUUUUGAAUUUCUUCAACGGAGCCGUUUGUCUUAUUGACAUGCGAUGUGGGACGAUAUUUGACAUACUGAGG
rnacentral:snoRNA from 1 species